rnacentral:rRNA from 1 species
GACAGAGGUGCCAAGCGUUAGGCGGAAUCACUGGGCUUAAAGCGUGUGUAGGCGGGCGAUCAAGUACGUUGUGAAAUCCCACGGCUCAACCGUGGAACUGCUGGGUAUACUGGUUGUCUUGAGCCAGCUAGGGGCGAGCGGAACAGACGGUGGAGCGGUGAAAUGCGUAGAUAUCGUCUGGAACGCCGAAGGUGAAAACAGCUCGCUGGGGCUGCGCUGACGCUGAGACACGAAAGCCAGGGGAGCGAACGGG